GUUUCAUCCCUUGCUGAACUUUAAUCCAGAUUGUGAGACCUUAGUAUCCCUUCUCUUCUUCUUCCCAUGCGUUGUAAAAGGAAGCCCCAAGGGUCAUUGUUGAUUUUCUAAUCAGAAUCACAUGUAGUUCCCCAUCUACUCCCAAAGCCGUGAGCCCUAUAGGAGAUCACCAAGAACCCAGAAUUUACAUUUCAUUUCCCUCAUACGCUCCACAAACCGUGAACUUCAUGGAUAGCAAGACUCUUAAGCAUACUUUCUCUUCUGUUCACUGUUCGGUCGUGUCCCCAAGCAAAGGAGUUGUACUGUUUUUAUUGCUCCCUUGUUCCUCAUGAUUCCCUUCGCCAUGUUGGAGAUUCUUCUGCAUACAGAUUGACAUUUAAACUCUCACCCCCCCUCCUCUUCAUUUCUGCGCACAACCAUCCUCAAGUGGGAGAAGUUUUGAUUGGGUCUUUCCUCACAUGACAUGCCACUGAAACCGGUUUCUUGGAGCUGUAGAGAAGAGAGAAAUUUCGCAGCUUUGAGUCACUGCUCCCAAUGGCCGAUUUGCACAACAUGGGUUUCUUACAAGUAGAUGUGUGCAAAAUCUCUAAGAACGUGGACUAUUCUGGUGCUGUUUGAUUAGUACUUGGGCUCACAAGGAGCACGAAAAAGCAUUUGAUGAUGUACUUGUAUUGGAGAUAUUCUGUUUACAUGUUGCUGUUGGAAUUUCUGCUGUUUGUUUGCUGAUUCUGUCGAAUGCGCAUGAAAUAUUUGACGUUGGUGUAAUAUUUUGGGAGAUUGGAAAAAUGUUAGGACAUAUCUGAUCUUGCUGUAUUUUGGGAUUUUAUGUAUUGCUAUAAAUUGCGUAAUUUUGAACUCGUUU